rnacentral:rRNA from 1 species
UACGAAGGGGGCUAGCGUUGUUCGGAAUUACUGGGCGUAAAGGGCGCGUAGGCGGUCUGUCGCGUCGGUCGUGAAAACUUGGGGCUUAACCCUGAGCUUGCGGUCGAUACGGGCAUGACUGGAGUUCGGUAGGGGAGACUGGAAUUCCUGGUGUAGCGGUGAAAUGCGCAGAUAUCAGGAGGAACACCGGUGGCGAAGGCGGGUCUCUGGGCCGAUACUGACGCUGAGGAGCGAAAGCGUGGGGGAGCGAACAGG